CCUGCGCCACGUCACUUCACCUACGCCUAUUUGAAUUCAUGAGAAAUGAGUUCUCAUGAAUUUUCUCUCAUGUAGAAGCCUUCCCACGCCCCUUCUUUGUGCACCAUUUUGAGUGGAUAAUGAUAAGGUUGGUUGGCCAUUCAAAUUCAAAGGAUGUUUGAAUUUGAAUGGGCAACAAAUCCCAUGCGCCACCCCUUUCUUUUGUGUGCCACUUAUUCUACA
rnacentral:lncRNA from 1 species